rnacentral:rRNA from 1 species
GAUGAACGCUGGCGGCGUGCCUAAUACAUGCAAGUCGAGCGAACGGACGAGAAGCUUGCUUCUCUGAUGUUAGCGGCGGACGGGUGAGCAACACGUGGAUAACCUACCUAUAAGACUGGGAUAACUUCGGGAAACCGGAGCUAAUACCGGAUAAUAUUUUGAACCGCAUGGUUCAAAAGUGAAAGACGGUCUUGCUGUCACUUAUAGAUGGAUCCGCGCUGCAUUAGCUAGUUGGUAAGGUAACGGCUUACCAAGGCAACGAUGCAUAGCCGACCUGAGAGGGUGAUCGGCCACACUGGAACUGAGACACGGUCCAGACUCCUACGGGAGGCAGCAGUAGGGAAUCUUCCGCAAUGGGCGAAAGCCUGACGGAGCAACGCCGCGUGAGUGAUGAAGGUCUUCGGAUCGUAAAACUCUGUUAUUAGGGAAGAACAUAUGUGUAAGUAACUGUGCACAUCUUGACGGUACCUAAUCAGAAAGCCACGGCUAACUACGUGCCAGCAGCCGCGGUAAUACGUAGGUGGCAAGCGUUAUCCGGAAUUAUUGGGCGUAAAGCGCGCGUAGGCGGUUUUUUAAGUCUGAUGUGAAAGCCCACGGCUCAACCGUGGAGGGUCAUUGGAAACUGGAAAACUUGAGUGCAGAAGAGGAAAGUGGAAUUCCAUGUGUAGCGGUGAAAUGCGCAGAGAUAUGGAGGAACACCAGUGGCGAAGGCGACUUUCUGGUCUGUAACUGACGCUGAUGUGCGAAAGCGUGGGGAUCAAACAGGAUUAGAUACCCUGGUAGUCCACGCCGUAAACGAUGAGUGCUAAGUGUUAGGGGGUUUCCGCCCCUUAGUGCUGCAGCUAACGCAUUAAGCACUCCGCCUGGGGAGUACGACCGCAAGGUUGAAACUCAAAGGAAUUGACGGGGACCCGCACAAGCGGUGGAGCAUGUGGUUUAAUUCGAAGCAACGCGAAGAACCUUACCAAAUCUUGACAUCCUUUGACAACUCUAGAGAUAGAGCCUUCCCCUUCGGGGGACAAAGUGACAGGUGGUGCAUGGUUGUCGUCAGCUCGUGUCGUGAGAUGUUGGGUUAAGUCCCGCAACGAGCGCAACCCUUAAGCUUAGUUGCCAUCAUUAAGUUGGGCACUCUAAGUUGACUGCCGGUGACAAACCGGAGGAAGGUGGGGAUGACGUCAAAUCAUCAUGCCCCUUAUGAUUUGGGCUACACACGUGCUACAAUGGACAAUACAAAGGGCAGCGAAACCGCGAGGUCAAGCAAAUCCCAUAAAGUUGUUCUCAGUUCGGAUUGUAGUCUGCAACUCGACUACAUGAAGCUGGAAUCGCUAGUAAUCGUAGAUCAGCAUGCUACGGUGAAUACGUUCCCGGGUCU